ACUUUCAACAACGGAUCUCUUGGUUCUGGCAUCGAUGAAGAACGCAGCGAAAUGCGAUAAGUAGUGUGAAUUGCAGAAUUCAGUGAAUCAUCGAAUCUUUGAACGCACAUUGCGCCCUUUGGUAUUCCAAAGGGCAUGCCUGUUCGAGCGUCAUUUGUA
rnacentral:rRNA from 1 species